rnacentral:lncRNA from 1 species
UGUUCUUGAUUGGUAGUACAGCUCACAGAUUGAGCUUAAUUCCCAGUUGUAUGGCAACUGGGAAAUGGGAAUGGUCUGUCUCUGUAUAAAACUCACCGUGACCCAAUUGGGUCAAUUUAUGUCUACCCUUAUUACUUUUUAAGGUAAUGUGGCUGAAUCUUGUUCGUGCUCAGUAUCUACCUUAUGGAUGUUGGUCAAGUUUGUAAUGUGGUUCAUGAUAAAUGAAAUAAAAUAUAUUGGUUCAGAUACCCUUAAUUCUUUCCAACAAUUGUGUGAGGUUUGGGCCAACUUGUGCCCAACUCGACUAAUCUAUUCACCAACCUGUUAGAGUUGACGCGCACAACUGCACAAGUGUCAUGUAAAAGGUUCAAUUAAUUUUAAGAAUUUAGACAGUUGAGGAACCUAGAAAUUUCUGAAUCUUUUGUCUUGUGGGCAGGACAAAAAUAAUGUUGCGUCCACAGUAGAAGCUAAUUUAAGGGAAAAAAGGCUGUAAAUAGUUUUGAACGGACUGAAGACUAAAGUAACACAAACAAAAGAA